rnacentral:rRNA from 1 species
AGAGGGUGCGAGCGUUGUCCGGAAUUACUGGGCGUAAAGGGCGCGUAGGCGGCCUGAUAAGUCGGGGGUGAAAUUCAGCGGCUCAACCGCUGGACUGCCUUCGAGACUGUCGGGCUCGAGCACGGUAGAGGCUGGUGGAAUUCCCGGUGUAGCGGUGGAAUGCGUAGAGAUCGGGAAGAACAUCGGUGGCGAAGGCGGCCAGCUGGGCCGUUGCUGACGCUGAUGCGCGACAGCGUGGGGAGCAAACAGGAUUAGAUACCCUGGUAGUCCACGCCGUAAACGAUGGGCACUAGGCGCCGGGGGGAGCGACCCCUUCGGUGCCGUCGUUAACACAGUAAGUGCCCCGCCUGGGGAGUACGGCCGCAAGGCUGAA